UAGAUACUUGGAUGCCAGCCACAGUUACAUAUUAGGAGGCUUAAAUAAGCUUCAUUGCCUAAUGAAGUACAGCAUUGAUGGUUAAACUAUUACUAAGUAUAUUACGAUCCAUUACUUUUUAAGUCAAAAGAAUAAUGGAUCAUAAUAUAAUUCAAAAGAUAUUGUCUAAGCAAUGGAGGAAAGGCAAUGAACAAAAGAUUUAAC
rnacentral:lncRNA from 1 species